AACGAACGCUGGCGGCAUGCCUAACACAUGCAAGUCGAACGAGACCUUCGGGUCUAGUGGCGCACGGGUGCGUAACGCGUGGGAACCUGCCCUUAGGUUCGGAAGAACUCCCCGAAAGGGGUGCUAAUACCGGAUAAUGUCUUCGGACCAAAGAUUUAUCGCCUUUGGAUGGGCCCGCGUUGGAUUAGCUAGUUGGUAGGGUAAAAGCCUACCAAGGCGACGAUCCAUAGCUGGUCUGAGAGGAUGAUCAGCCACACUGGGACUGAGGCACGGCCCAGACUCCUACGGGAGGCAGCAGUGGGGAAUAUUGGACAAUGGGCGAAAGCCUGAUCCAGCAAUGCCGCGUGAGUGAUGAAGGCCUUAGGGUUGUAAAGCUCUUUUACCCGGGAUGAUAAUGACAGUACCGGGAGAAUAAGCUCCGGCUAACUCCGUG
rnacentral:rRNA from 1 species